rnacentral:tRNA from 1 species
ACCUGGGUGGCUCAGUUGGUUGAGUGUCCGACUUCGACUCGGGUCAUGAUCUCACAGUUUGUGGGUUCGAGCCCCUCAUCAGGCU